GACGAACGCUGGCGGCGUGCUUAACACAUGCAAGUCGAACGGAAAGGCCCUGCUUUUGUGGGGUGCUCGAGUGGCGCACGGGUGAGUAACACGUGAGUAACCUGCCCUUGACUUUGGGAUAACUUCAGGAAACUGGGGCUAAUACCGGAUAGGAGCUCCUGCUGCAUGGUGGGGGUUGGAAAGUUUCGGCGGUUGGGGAUGGACUCGCUGCUUAUCCGCUUGUUGGUGGGGUAGUUGCUUACCAAGGUUUUGACGGGUAGCCGGCCUGAGAGGGUGACCGGCGACAUGGGGACUGAGAGACGCACCAGAAUGGAACGGGAGGCAGCAGUGGGGAAUAUUGCACAAUGAGCGGAAGCCUGAUACAGCAACGCCGCGUGCGGGAUGACGGCCUUCGAGUUGUAAACCGCUUUCGCCUGUGACGAAGCGUGAGUGACGGUAAUGGGUAAAGAAGCACCGGCUAACUACGUG
rnacentral:rRNA from 1 species